GCCAGGUGUGGUGGCCACGCCUGUAAUCCCAGGGGCUCUGGAGGCUGAGGCAGGAGGAUCAUGAGUUCAAAGCCAGCCUCAGCAACACUGAGGCCCUAAGCAACUCAGUGAGACCCUGACUCUA
rnacentral:sRNA from 1 species